rnacentral:rRNA from 1 species
AUUGAACGCUGGCGGCGUGCCUAACACAUGCAAGUCGAGCGGUAACAGGCGUAGCAAUACGUGCUGACGAGCGGCGAACGGGUGAGCAAUGCUUCGGAAUCUACCCUCUGGUGGGGAAUAACCAGCCGAAAGGUUGGCUAAUACCGCAUACGACCUACGGGUGAAAGCAGGGGAUCGCAAGACCUUGCGCCAAUGGAUGAGCCGAAGUCGGAUUAGCUAGUUGGUAGGGUAACGGCCUACCAAGGCGACGAUCCGUAGCUGGUCUGAGAG